rnacentral:rRNA from 1 species
CAGUAGCCGCGGGAAUACGUAGGGUGCAAGCGUUAAUCGGAAUUACUGGGCGUAAAGCGUGCGCAGGCGGUUUGUUAAGACAGAUGUGAAAUCCCCGGGCUCAACCUGGGAACUGCAUUUGUGACUGGCAAGCUAGAGUGUGGCAGAGGGGGGUGGAAUUCCGCGCGUAGCAGUGAAAUGCGUAGAUAUGCGGAGGAACACCGAUGGCGAAGGCAGCCCCCUGGGCCAACACUGACGCUCAUGCACGAAAGCGUGGGGAGCAAACAGGAUUAGAUACCCCCGUAGUCCCUGUCUCUUAUAC